CAACAUGAUGAACCCCAGAUAGGGACAGCUUAUGCCUUAGAGCAGUUGAUGUGAACCCUGGGCGAGAAUUUUAGUAGAUGCCUCGAGUUUCUGACA
rnacentral:snoRNA from 1 species